GAUGAACGCUGGCGGCGUGCUUAACACAUGCAAGUCGAACGGAAAGGCCCUGCUUUUGUGGGGUGCUCGAGUGGCGAACGGGUGAGUAACACGUGAGUAGCCUGCCCUUGACUUUGGGAUAACUUCAGGAAACUGGGGCUAAUACCGGAUAGGAGCUCCUGCUCCAUGGUGGGGGUUGGAAAGUUUCGGCGGUUGGGGAUGGACUCGCGGCUUAUCAGCUUGUUGGUGGGGUAGUGGCUUACCAAGGCUUUGACGGGUAGGCGGCAUGAGAGGGUGACCGGGGACCUUGGGCCUGCGAUACGGAGCAGACGGCUAUGGGCGGCAGUAGUGGGGAAUAUUGCAGAGUGGGGGGAAGCCUGAUACAGCAACGCCGGGUGCGGGAUGCCCGCCUUCGGGUUGUAAACCGAUUUCGACUGUGACGAAGCGUGAGUGACGGUAAUGGGUAAAGAAGCAACGGCUAACUACGUG
rnacentral:rRNA from 1 species